GCGUCGAGCGGCGGACGGGUGAGUAAUGCCUAGGAAAUUGCCCUGAUGUGGGGGAUAACCAUUGGAAACGAUGGCUAAUACCGCAUGAUGCCUACGGGCCAAAGAGGGGGACCUUCGGGCCUCUCGCGUCAGGAUAUGCCUAGGUGGGAUUAGCUAGUUGGUGAGGUAAGGGCUCACCAAGGCGACGAUCCCUAGCUGGUCUGAGAGGAUGAUCAGCCACACUGGAACUGAGACACGGUCCAGACUCCUACGGGAGGCAGCAGUGGGGAAUAUUGCACAAUGGGCGCAAGCCUGAUGCAGCCAUGCCGCGUGUGUGAAGAAGGCCUUCGGGUUGUAAAGCACUUUCAGUCGUGAGGAAGGUGGUGUAGUUAAUAGCUGCAUUAUUUGACGUUAGCGACAGAAGAAGCACCGGCUAACUCCGUGCCAGCAGCCGCGGUAAUACGGAGGGUGCGAGCGUUAAUCGGAAUUACUGGGCGUAAAGCGCAUGCACGUGGUUUGUUAAGUCAGAUGUGAAAGCCCGGGGCUCAACCUCGGAAUUGCAUUUGAAACUGGCAGACUAGAGUACUGUAGAGGGGGGUAGAAUUUCUCGUGUAGCGGUGAUAUGCGUGCAGAUCUGAAGGAAUACCGGUGGCGAAGGCGCUCCCCCUGCACAGAUACUGACACUCAGAUGCGAAAGCGUGGGGAGCAAACACGAUUAGAUAUUCUGGUAGUCCACCUCCGUAAAUGAUCUCUACUUGGAGGUUGUGGCCCCCCUCCGCGGCUUUCUGAUCUGACGCGUUUAAAUAGACCGUCCCGAGGGAUGACCGUCGCGAGAUUCAAAUCUCACAUAA
rnacentral:rRNA from 1 species